GUUUUUUGGGCAGCAAAAGAUAACUUAGUAUUGUGGGAAGCUAAAAUUUCAGUUUCAGGGAGGGUUUUGAGAGUUGAUGAGUCCAUUUGGGGGAAGGAUGUAGUCUUAAGCUUACUUCCCCAGAAGCAAAAGGGGAAUGAGAUAAACAGACCUUUGGCUGGACUCCAAGAGUCUUUCAACCAAAGAAAGUUUACUGAAGAAAAAAAGAGAAACUUGGCCGAGAUCUGAAGUGUGAUGAGAAUUUGGAACACGGAAGACAAGCCAGGAGGCCCUUCUGAAAGUAGGAAGCCACAGAAGCAAACGGUGCCAAGGAGGACGAUCCAGGGCGGGCCUGGCCGCAAGAGGGCACCUUGCAGAAAGCACCGCAGUUGGCAGUAAGCAGGCAUUUUCCAGAAGAAUCCCGAAGGCAAAUACUCUGUUCUGCUCUCAGUUAACCUGUGCUACUGUCAGACCACAUACACUGUAGAGUUCAGAGGUAGCUGCUAUGGGAGUGAAUCUUCUUGCUGCUGCCAAAGGGACUCCUGCAGGCCAGCAGCAGGGACGGACUCACCUCCCUGUGCCCUCUCCCAGCAGAUGACCUCAGCCCUCACAGUUGAAGAAGUUGGUAAGAAACUGACAAUUUGGUGUAGGAAAAUUUAAAAAACUGUCAGCAAGUUCACUGAAUAACAUUUGGAGGACUUCAUUAUGAAAAAGGGAUCAGGCCAUUCAUUCAUUCCUUAAGCAUUUAUGGCGUGCCCACCAGGUGCCCAAAGUGUGCUCCAAAGAGGCACAGGUGAGGCCACAGGAUCUGUCCUCAGAUCCGGAUUUCACAGCCCAGUGGAGGAAGUGAUGUCUAACAAGGUGAGUGUCAUACAGCACACCACUCACGGGAGAAAAAAAGCUCUGGAGCAAUGGCAACGGGACAGAGCCCACCCGAGGAGAUGGGAAGAUGUGGGAGGCACACCUCAGAGGGGUGGAGAGUCCCUGGGAACUGUGCUUCAGGCAGAAGGGACAGCCUAGGCGAGAAAUAGCAUGCCAGGCACAGGGGAAUUUUAUCAUAAGGGGAGGCAAGAGUAUAAGAAAACCGGGUUUGCCCUAUCGCAUUCAAGGGUGGCUCUCUUGGCCAGCAUCAUUCAGGUGGCUGUUUUGAGUUGUUCCCGGCAGCCUCCACCAAAGACAAAAGAGGACUGUGUACAAGCUCUCACCUGGCCAGGCCCUCGUGACUGGCAGCUUACAUUGCCAAGACAGCUGCUUGGAUCAUGAGAUGUAGCACAGCUGGUCCAAAAGGCAAAUAAGAAACGAUCCGUGGUGUCACCUCAAGUGUCUCAAAAUCAUUGAAGCACAUGCUGAGAGCCCACCUCUCACUUUGCAGAUGAGGAAGCAGAGGAGGGGAGGGAGUUGUCUAAGGUCACACCACAGGAUAAGCAUUGAGUGACAGGGCAGGAAUCAGGCACCUGGAGAUGGAGCUGCAAAGGACACUGUCCUCGACCUUGAGGGGCUUACAACGUGUUAUUGACUGAACUGUGCCCCCCUUAACUCGUAUGUUGAAAUCCUGACCCCCAAUACUUCCAAAUGUGACUGCAUUUGGAGAAAGGGCCUUUAAAGAGGUUAUUAAGGUAAAGGGAGGUCAUGAGUGGACUCUAAUCCAACAUGGCCAGGGUCAUAUUCCAAAAGUGGAAAUUAGGACAGAGACACACAGAAGACACAGAGAAAAGGUGGCCAUCUACGAGCCACCUUCUACAAGAGAGGCCUCAGAAUGAACCCAACCCUGCUGACACCUUGAUCUUGGACUUCUAGCCACCAGAAUGGUGAGGACAUAAAUUCCUGUUGCUUAAGCCACCCAGUCUGUGGUAUUCGUUACAGCAGUCACAGAAAAAUAGUACACAGGCCUUGAGAAACAGACGUGAACACUGCUCCAAUCCCUGGAGUAACAGGGAUUCCUGUGAGCUGCCUGACUGCAGGCAGCACUGUCAGCAUCCCCAUCCCCCAGGAUCGCCUGGGACCUCCCUCUUAUCACAUCGCUCCACCUCAGCUCCUUGGCAGCCAGGCCUCCAGCGGGAGGCAGAGGGCAUCCUCAAGCUGGGCAAUUGGAGGAGCAUUUAAUGAAGGGGCUCUUUACAAAGGUGUGGGCAGGGUUUUGGGAGGUCAGAGAGGAAUGAUGCAGCCCUUCUGCAACCUCGCCUCACCCCAGGCCUGCAGGCAUGCGGAGGGAGUGCCCGCUGGAACCCAGGGCCAGGACAGGGCCUGUGCAGAGGAGUCCACCUUCAGCAAGACGGACCACCAAUACUCUGCGACUUAGAGAAGGAGACUGAGGAAUAAAUGCCCAGACCGUACUCCGCUCCUGCCCUCCUGGUUUCCUGCCAGAGUCUCCCCUUGUCUGAAGCCAACCUGAAGACACCCCUUGAGGACCCCUUCACUGUACUGGGACCAUGGGGGGCUGAGCCUCUGGGAUCAGUCACCUCCCUAACCUCCUGCAUGAGGAACAACUUGACGAACACACAUUUCAACCUGUAACAGGGUGGACAAGCAGAACCCUUCUUCAGAAGCACAUUUAUGAAGUUCCCGCAGUAACUGGCUCAGAGAGAAAUGCUGCUGUAACAGCUGAGAGAAAACUGAUAACCCUGAAAAUAAAGUGUCCAUGGAAAUCUCAUAUAUUGCCUAUUGUUUAAAAACAAUGUCUCACAUAAAAGAGGUGAUGGAUUAGUUUCUUUCAUUAUGCUGCCUCAAG
rnacentral:lncRNA from 10 species